GCAGUGUGCAGUCAAAGCUGUGGACAGGAUGCUUCUUGGAGCCAAAGGAGAGAUUUGUGCAGUACAGAACUGAAGUCAGUGGGAUAACAAAUGUUUGUACCGAACAACAGAAAAUGGAAAACAAACUGGGUUUCAUAUUUAAGAUUCUCCUGAUUCUUCACAGUCGCCCCCUCUUUGCUUUGAUAGCGGCUUUGCACCACUGGAGCUCCUCCAGCAGCUUGGAAGGAGUUCCCACGUCUGCAUGCCAAACCAUCUCAGCUUGGUUUAGUUCGGCUGUGUUAAAAGGAUUGUAGUGGUUUCUUUGCAGCGGUUCCACCAGGAAGGUUUCAUCCAAGUCUAUCCAUCUAUCUCACAUUCCUUUGAACUGCUGCAUGAUGGAGAGGAGGUGUUCGCUGCGUUUCUGGAUGUUGC